rnacentral:rRNA from 1 species
GACGAACCGAGCGAACGUUGUUCGGAAUCACUGGGCUUAAAGGGCGCGUAGGCGGGUGCUCAAGUCCGUGGUGAAAUCCUCCGGCUCAACCGGAGAACUGCCUCGGAUACUGGGUGCCUCGAGGGUGGUAGGGGUAUGCGGAACCAUCGGUGGAGCGGUGAAAUGCGUUGAUAUCGAUAGGAACUCCGGUGGCGAAGGCGGCAUACUGGACCACCUCUGACGCUGAGGCGCGAAAGCCAGGGGAGCAAAGCGGG